rnacentral:rRNA from 1 species
GAUGAACGCUAGCGGCAGGCUUAAUACAUGCAAGUCGAGGGGCAGCGCAGUGUAGCAAUACAUGGGCGGCGACCGGCAAACGGGUGCGGAACACGUACGCAACCUUCCUUUAAGUGGGGGAUAGCCCAGGGAAACUUGGAUUAAUACCCCGUAAUAUUAUGAAGUGGCAUCACUUUAUACUUAUAGCUCCGGCGCUUAAAGAUGGGCGUGCGACUGAUUAGGUAGUUGGCGGGGUAACGGCCCACCAAGCCUGCGAUCAGUAACUGGUGUGAGAGCACGACCAGUCACACGGGCACUGAGACACGGGCCCGACUCCUACGGGAGGCAGCAGUAAGGAACAUUGGUCAAUGGACGCAAGUCUGAACCAGCCAUGCCGCGUGGAGGAUGAAGGUCCUCUGGAUUGUAAACUUCUUUUAUUUGGGAAGAAACCCACUGUUUCUACGGUGGUUGACGGUACCAGAUGAAUAAGCACCGGCUAACUCCGUGCCAGCCGCCGCUGUAACAC